UUGUUUUAUACAGGGAUCCUGGCAAAAUUACCAACAAACCCAUAAAGGACACUGAAGGCCAUUCAAUCUCCAUCUUCACUGCCAGUCCCACAGACGUUGAAGAAAUAAGCUAUGUCUCCAAAGACCGACACUCCAAAGAGCACAGUUACGCCCUAAAUCGAGGGCAGGAUUCAGUGCUUGAUACCAGCGACCCUGGUGGUGGCCAAGAUCUCCGAUGGGCGUUCACCUGUUGGAACUUCUCCCCGACAGGUCUUCGGGGAAUGAUUGAUUAGCUUCUGUGACCCUGACUUUAGAUUCCAGGACAUCCAGACACGUGGCGCCCCACCGUGGAAGACAGCUGUUCACACACUGUUUUAUAUCAAGUCAGCGCACAGGUCACCUGCAGAGAGGAGCUCCUGGCUGCGUGUUUCAGGAAGGAACCGGGAAAUGUUCUUGCAUGCCCAAGUCUGCUUUGGAUUAUUCAUUCUUAAGGGAAGAAGUCUAAAUUUCAAAGCAAAGCAGCCCUGACGUAUUUUUCCAGUAGACGGGCUUUGAAACAUUAAAGCAUAUGAAGAUGUGAUGAAUGUUCAAAUAUACAGUAAUACUGAAACCCUCGUCCAAUUCUGUGCAGAGCCAACAACAUACUUAUUUGAUUUGAAAUAAUGUAUGACAUUAGCUCAAGGACAAGAAAUUUAUCCGCAAGGGGACCAGGAGACGGCAUCCUGACCUGACCGUGGUUGCCGCGCUCUGUGUUAACGUCGGCGGCCAGACAGAGAUGCACUGGGUUCGUCAAGGGUUCCGGACUUCUGGAGAGCUUGAGAUUGAGUCUGACUUGUAAGUCAGCAUCAGCCCUCUGGGGAGGAGCCGCCUGUCCUGGAGGAGCUCACCCUGCCUGUGAGUACCGCCCCAGGUGAGGAAGCGCCGCGGCGGAGGGCCAUCUUACUGGGGAUGUCCUCGUGCUGGUUUUUAAAAGAUUCCACAUAUAAGUGAUACCACAUGGUGCCUGUCCUUCUCUCACUGGCUUAUGUCACUCAGAAUGACAGUCUCCAGGUCCUCCAUGUUGCACAAAUGGCUGUUUUUCUAAGGCACCAUUUCUCACUUUCUCUAUUCUGAAGAGAUUCACUUUCAUGAAUAGAAAGUAAAGCCGAUGAAACGAUAAGCACUCAUGACUGUCGGCUGCCCCUGGAACGUCCAGAUGAACUGGAACUCAGGGUGAAAGCCGUGUGGUGGGGAAGCCUCCUGCCCUGCGGGUUGUCAGGAUCGGAGCCCGCAAGCUCCACGGAGGUCAGGGCGUCGGGCAGAGGCGGGGACUGCAGACUGCCGUGGAGACGCUCUAUUUCACACGCUUGCCCUCUGGAAGGACUGGCAGAGGCAGUCACUUAAAUUAAACACAGGUCAUCAGACAAGAUACACAGUCUAUUCCUGGAACAGACAACUUGAGCAUGCCAGGUCCCCAUGGCCUUUUACCGAGCCUCGUCACGCUCCCCUUUACGUCCCUCUGUCAGUUCACGUUAGGGCUGGCUGUGUUUAAAAGUGGUAUUGCAUGUAUUCUGCGACCCUCUGGCUCGGAGCAAAGAAAUUGCUUUGGUUUAUUUAUGACCUACUAACCUUAACAAAACUGAAAAACUCAAUGUUCUCACAAGCCUAGGGAAGAGAGAGAAAAGCUAAAAUAAAUCUGGCCUUGAUACAAGCUGGUCCGAUGCUGCCCACACCCUUCUCCAAAAUCCCAGGGAAGUGGAUGGGAAGAUCUCUGACCCUUAACUGUCUUACUUCUUGUGACUCUUUUCAUUCAAGGAAAACUAGGCAUGGAUUCAGAUGGCUGCCACCUACUUUGAAUUCUGGAAUUAUAACAGUGUGUUCUAAAAAGAAAGACACUACACACCACGGAAAAUGUAAAGGCUCAGCGCUAUCGAAUCCCGUUGUUCCCAGCAGGACUAUUUUAUAGUCAAGUGUGUCAUGAAAAUAGAGAUGUGGAAGGCGUAGACUAGAAGGGGCAAAGUAGUGAUUGAAAGCCACGCUCGAAUUAGUGAAAUACUGUCGAACCAGCAGGUGGGGUAAAGUGUGAACCAGAAGUUACCGCAAUAUAGGGCCCUUACGUCCGUUCUCUUUUCUGACACUAGGGUACCUGCGAGCGAGAGCAAGAGCCCGACCUCCAGCUGUGGGCCGUUCACACUGCGCAGGGAUGAGCUUACUUCACUUAGAAUGAAGAUUCCCCGGGUCCAUCCAUGUUGCUGCAAAUGAACGGGGCUUUGGAAGUAGCACGUGGAGCUGCAGCAGGCCUGUGGUUGACGACUUGGCAUUUUCACCUCAGCUGGCUGCAAUCUGGCUGCUUCUAGCGUUCCUCUCCUUCACACGCACGUAACAUUGUUCUCCUGAACCUGCUCUGGGCCAGCUCACCGGCGAGCUCUGCGGUGACACGGGCAAGCUGCGCCGUCCUGCCAGCUGUCCUGCCGGAGUGCCCCUGCACGUCACUGACUGCUGGCACCCAUGCCUGUUACAAACUCCAGUCUCCGCUGACUUUGUGAGCCUAGUCGCAUGUGAACUUCUUUCCGUCUUUAUAACGGUGACGUCCUGUUUUUCAGAGCCCCAUCUUAUCCUGCCUAACCUAGUACGCCUGGUUUCUUUGUGAGACACGUCGUGAUUGGUUUUCAGGGUUUUUUUCUUCCCACGCUUUACAGUCUUUGAAGGGAUCUCAGGCACUGGAUGAUGCUGGCCUCUGCUUAGAGGCUGCUGAUUGUCAAGUCUCUCUCUCCAAUCAAGACGGCCCGAAUCCGCGUCCCUAACUGCCGCCUGCUCUCCCCGCAGACCCUUGCCCGUGCUGAAAUCAUCUCACGCUCCUGCUCUUGCCUUCCUGCACAUGUAAUCACAAAGCCCUUGAAGAUGCUUACGUCUCGCUAGCCCACUGAGAUUGCAGUGUGUGUGUGUGUGUGUGUGUGUAUUUCUACUACCUAAUUCAGAAACUUAUAAUUCUUACUUGGACUUCUCCAGUAGUCACCUAAUUAACUUUCUGUCUACCAUCAGCCAUUUGUUCAAUAUAUUUUCUCCACAGUAUUUAAAAAAUAACAACUUAAAAACUUAAUCAUGUUGUGGAACUCUUUAAUGCACUCUGAGUAAAAUCUCCUAAUAUGUUUAAUAGAUCAAUUGUCCUGGUGGGAAAUUUGAGUAUUAGCUAAAUGCAGGAAAAUGAAAUUUUACCUGGAACUUCACAGAAUCCCUGGAGUUUUAUUUCAGUAUAUUAAGGAGCUAAUUGCAACUUUAAAAUUUUUUCUAAAGUGAGUGUCGUGGAAGAUUUACUCAUCCUGAAAUGGUGAAGAACUUUUUAAGUAUUAACAUGAUCAAAGAAGAAAGAAAAAAGAAAACAAAAUCAUGGGAAGACUUGACCACUUAAACUUCAGUCUGUAGCAUGUCAAAAACAUACAGUGAAAGGGCAGCCGGCCAAAUGGAAAAUAAUAUGAGAAAUAAAGAAGACAAGUGAUUAAUAUGCUUAGUCGAUACAAUUUUUAGAGAUAUAUUCUUAAUACAGAAAAAGCAAUAAGGAAAAAUUAACACCUCAAGAGAUAAAUGAACAGUGAAUCUGAACAGAGAAGUCACAAAAGAAAUGCAAAUAAAUCAGGUAAAUUUUACAUAAAUGAUGUAAAAUUCUGCUUCACUGAAGAAAUUCAAAUUUAAAACAGUGAGAUGUGCUUUAUCUUUAGUAAAGCUAGCUGAGGAAGAAAAGGUCACAGAAGCCAGAAAAGCCGAAAUGAAUUUCCUGACACCGUGUAAUGUAGGGUGAUCUUUGGUUUUCUGCUUUCACUCCUUCUCAGCUUGGUCUUCCUGCCUCUUCUGAACUCGUGGCCUCCCCGCGACGGCGACUGGACCAGGGGCCCGAGGGAGACUCUCCCGUGGGCUCGGCGGGGGCUUUUGUACUUGCCCCUCAGGAGUUUGAGCUAGAUGGUCAGGAGGCAGUCGGUGUGUGCAAGACCUGCGGCAUCUCGAAGGUGUUGGCAGAUUCACACUUUGCUUUUUCCACACGUGGGGCCGGUGAGUCGGAAGCAGGCGGUGCUUCGGGGAGAGCAGCAGCGGGAGGCGCCGUGCGGCUCCUGCUCCCUGCAAGACGGAGGGGACGGCUUGCCUCCGUGACACUCCGGGUCCAGCAUUCGUUUUCUCAGCUGUCUUUGCUGGUUUUUGAUGGCUUUUAGAUACAAGGUGACUGAAGCCUAGAAAUUAACCCCAGUUUAUUUGUCAGCUGAGACUGGUACCCAUUCUUCAUCUCAGAACCAUACAACGUUCAUGAGACUGUGAACUGAUGUCAGCUUUGUGGAAGCAGCUUGGCACUAUCUAGCGGGACUUUUAAAUGCUUGGAUACUUUGAAUCAAUGGUUCUCACUCUGGGAUUCUCUGCAGCGUAUGUACGUGUGAGGAUAGUUAAAGCAACGUUACUUUAAAAAAUUUAAUGGUGGAAGCAAGCUGCAGGCCCAGCAAUGGGGAAUGGGGCCAUGAGCUGUGUCAGGAAUGUGACAGAAAAUAGUAAUAACCCAAGAAUGUUUUAAUAAUGGAGAGCCUGCUUGUAAUGAAGUAAAACUCAGACAGAGGAUUAAACCUCAGCCUCCUAGAGGAGCAGCUAUGGCGAAAUUCAUUAACCUCCCUAAGCCUACAUUUUCCUAACGACAUAAUUGGUAUAGUAUUUCUUGUCUGAUAACACUUUCUGAGGAUGAAUGAAGUCAUUUAUGCAAUGACGUUAGCUCAGUGCCUGACACUUAAUAAAUGUUUAGUAGUAGCAGCAGUAAACGCUGUCCCAUGCCUGAUAAGACCCGCUAUGUAGAAGUCAUUCUUUUCAUUUCACUCUCGGUCCUGGAAUUUUGGUCAUUUUUCUUCUCCUAUGCAUUAUGCAUUCUAUCUUUUUUCCUUUUUCCCUCUUUUUUUUUUUUUUUUGCUUUGUUUGUCUUUGAUUUGUUUCAAGCUGACAACAUGUGCCUCUUUACUAUCCUAAGAGAAUCUAGGUACUGGUUCAAAAAAAAUGACACCAUAAAUUAUACUUAACUUUUGGCCAAUUGUAAAAAGAAAUAAAGUUAAAUAGAAUUAUCACUUUCCUUGUUGAAGUCACACAGUGACCUAGCUAUACUGUCUCUCCAUCCUUACAGGAGCCAUUUGAGGAGGGAAAUAUCAUUUUGGAGAGUUUUGAAGUUGGGGACAAGACGAUCAGGAUUAAGUCACGUGCCUUCUGUCAUAACUGGCAGAGGGGUGGUUCUAAACUCUACUAUCUAAUUUAUAUUCAAAUUUUGAGAAUCUAGCCAUUAAUUAAUAACUAUUUCUGAGGAAAGAAAGAACAGGAUAUCCCUUUCAAAAUAAUAGUUCAGCCCAAACUAAGUUUCACUGGAAUUUAAGUGAAAUAUAAAGUCAUAGUCUGAGAAUAAGACUCCAUAUUUGGAAGGAUGACACUGUAAUUUAAGUGAUUUGAGACCUGCUUUUUCUUGUUCAAUAGAGAAAGUUACUUGUUUUGGUUGCUGCUCCAAUCUGGGCCCAAGAGCAAUAUGAAACAAUGAUCAGAGUUCAACGAAUAUCAGUUGAAUGAAUGAGUCAUAAACGUAUCUACUCAGCAAGCAAUGCCUUUAAUGACUGACUCAUGGUAAUACAAUGCUGCACGCCAGAUGCUAUGAGUCAAAGUUGAGUCUUAGUUAAAAUGUAGUUUUGAAAAAAAAAACUACCUAUACAACAGUGGCAUUUAUUUCAAACCUCAAGCCUGGAUUCCUAACAUUCACUUAUGUAUUUACCGUACAUGAAUUUAACCACGAUGUUUCUUCCAAUCUAAUAGACCAAUAAUGGCAAGACAAACCUUCAUUGUAUAAAGUAGUAAGAGAAAAAAGAGAGAAAGAAAGAAAGGGAAAGAAAGAAAGGAAUAAAGAACACUGACCAUUACAAUUUUAAAAUGCCAUCAAUUAUAAAACACACCUCAGUUUCAGAGAUGUAAAAAUAUAAAGCAGAUGCAUCUCAGGAUCAGUGAAAUACAGUGUUUAUUUGCAGAAAUCCACCAUUAAGUGGCUGCAUUUCUUCUAUUAAACGAUGGACAUAAUUAAAGCUGAAAAGUUAAUGCAAGCAAGAAAAGAAAUGAUGGAAAGAUUUUGGGAAAUGAUUUUAAGUUUUUUUCCCACCAGGGACCACAAAUGAAAUGCUUGGUUUGAACUUUACAAGGAUUUUCAAGGGUCAUUUUAGCUACACAUGAUUUUUAUCCCAGAGGCUGACUUUGAAAUCUAACUUUCCCCUUGACCUUAAGGUAUGACCAACCCCUAGGUAUAAAUAGAGUUUUCUUAAUUUCUAAGAUUAUACAUUUUAGCUAGUAAGAAGAGCUAGCGUUGAUCUAGCAGCCAAACUUGUAUUUCUACAAAUCCUUUCUUUUACUUUCCAAGGGGCCAUCACGAUUCAGUGUAACUUUAACAGGUCUUAACCACAUUUUCCAAGUCACCUCCCCCCAUCCCUCUUCAGACAAAUUCACUCAUUCUUCCUACUCCCUCUGAGGAAACCUUCAGAGCCCUGUAAGUCACCCCUCCUCGUGCAAAUUUUUCUGGAAAAUCAACACCGAGUAAUAAUAAUAAAAGAUUCCACUAUUUUUACUGCCUGAGUCUCUCUAAGCCCUGGACAGACAGCUUGGACCCAGGCACAGAAAGCCUUAGCGAGUGGCGCCAAGUCACACAAAGCCAUUCUUAAGAUGCCUGUUCUGUGCUAUCAACCCUCCUACCUUAGGCAACCCCCUCCUGCUGGUUAAGUGCUAACACA